GAUCAUGGCUCAGGAUGAACGCUAGCUACGGGCUUAACACAUGCAAGUCGAGGGGGCAGCAUGAACUUAGCUUGCUAAGUUUGAUGGCGACCGGCGCACGGGUGAGUAACACGUAUCCAACCUUCCCGUUACUCUGGAAUAGCCUUUCGAAAGAAAGAUUAAUACCGGAUAGUAUCGAGAGAUUGCAUGAUUACCCGAUUAAAGAUUCAUCGGUAACGGAUGGGGAUGCGUUCCAUUAGG
rnacentral:rRNA from 1 species